AUAUGGGACUACAGGACAGUACCAGGAUGAAGCUUGGGUAAAACUAAGUGGAGGUCCGAACCGACUGAUGUUGAAGAAUCAUCGGAUGAGUUGUGGUUAGGGGUGAAAUACCACUCGAACCCAGAGCUAG
rnacentral:ncRNA from 1 species